AUGCAGAUCUUUGUCAAGACCCUCACAGGCAAGACUAUCACUCUUGAGGUCGAGAGUUCAGAUACCAUUGACAAUGUUAAAGCCAAGAUUCAGGACAAGGAGGGCAUUCCUCCGGACCAACAGAGGCUCAUAUUUGCUGGCAAGCAGCUAGAGGAUGGCCGGACAUUGGCCGAUUACAACAUCCAAAAGGAGUCUACCCUCCACCUUGUUCUCCGCCUGAGAGGUGGGAUGCAGAUCUUUGUGAAAACUCUUACCGGGAAGACCAUAACUCUAGAAGUUGAGAGUUCGGACACCAUCGACAAUGUCAAGGCAAAGAUCCAGGACAAGGAGGGUAUCCCACCAGAUCAACAGAGGCUCAUCUUCGCUGGCAAGCAGCUUGAGGAUGGGCGUACAUUGGCUGAUUACAACAUUCAGAAGGAGUCUACUCUUCACCUAGUCCUCCGUCUCCGUGGUGGCAUGCAGAUAUUUGUCAAGACACUAACCGGAAAGACCAUCACUCUUGACCAGAGGCUCAUCUUUGCUGGAAAGCAGCUCGAGGAUGAGCGCACUUUGGCAGAUUACAAUAUUCAGAAGGAGUCUACCCUUCACCUGGUCCUCCGCCUCCGUGGUGGGAUGCAGAUCUUUGUCAAAACGCUAACCGGGAAGACCAUUACACUUGAGGUUGAGAGCUCUGACACAAUUGAUAAUGUGGAGGCCAAGAUCCAGGAUAAGGAAGGUAUCCCGCCUGACCAGCAGAGGCUCAUCUUUGCCGGAAAGCAGCUCGAGGACGGGCGUACGUUGGUGGAGAGCUCUGACACCAUUGAUAAUGUGAAGUCCAAGAUCCAGGACAAGGAGGGAAUUCCUCCAGAUCAGCAGAGGCUUAUCUUUGCAGGGAAGCAACUGGAGGAUGGGCGUACCUUGGCAGAUUAUAACAUCCAAAAAGAAUCCACUCUUCAUCUUGUCCUGCGCCUCCGUGGUGGCCUUUGGUGGCCUUUUAACUAA
rnacentral:rRNA from 1 species